rnacentral:ncRNA from 1 species
ACUCUGCCCCGGAAAGCCGACCGAAAGGUCGGUGUGGUUGCGCCUUGGCCUCCGCGCCGAACCGCGACUCCCCAGUGCGGGGCCGACAUCCUCAAAUUGCGGGGAACCCUAAAGCUCCUGCUCCAAAGCCGGCGUGCGAAAGUGCCGUGGCCAGGCGAAAAGCUCGGGUACUGGAACAACGCAGGAGAUGCGACAAUGGGCAAUCCGCAGCCAAGCCCCUACGUCCUCCGGGAUACGGGAAGGUUCAGAGACUUGACGGGGAUGGGUGGGGCCCGCUGGCCUGCUUAAGAUAAAGUCCGUAUCCCCGCGAGAGAUCGGGUGUUCCAACG